rnacentral:rRNA from 1 species
CCUACGGGGGGCAGCAGUGAGGAAUAUUGGUCAAUGGACGAGAGUCUGAACCAGCCAAGUAGCGUGAAGGAUGACUGCCCUAUGGGUUGUAAACUUCUUUUAUAUGGGAAUAAAAUGUUCCACGUGUGGGAUUUUGUAUGUACCAUAUGAAUAAGGAUCGGCUAACUCCGUGCCAGCAGCCGCGGUAAUACGGAGGAUCCGAGCGUUAUCCGGAGUUAUUGGGUUUAAAGGGAGCGUAGGUGGAUUGUUAAGUCAGUUGUGAAAGUUUGCGGCUCAACCGUAAAAUUGCAGUUGAAACUGGCAGUCUUGAGUACAGUAGAGGUGGGCGGAAUUCGUGGUGUAGCGGUGAAAUGCUUAGAUAGCACGAAGAACUCCGAUUGCGAAGGCAGUUCACUGGACUGCAACUGACACUGAGGCUCGAAAGUGUGGGUAUCAAACAGGAUUAGAUACCCUUGUAGUC